rnacentral:rRNA from 1 species
AGGCCUUCGGGUUGUAAACUGCUUUUGUACGGAACGAAACGGUCUGCCCUAAUACGGUGGGCUAAUGACGGUACCGUAAGAAUAAGCACCGGCUAACUACGUGCCAGCAGCCGCGGUAAUACGUAGGGUGCGAGCGUUAAUCGGAAUUACUGGGCGUAAAGCGUGCGCAGGCGGUUAUGUAAGACAGAUGUGAAAUCCCCGGGCUCAACCUGGGACCUGCAUUUGUGACUGCAUAGCUAGAGUACGGUAGAGGGGGAUGGAAUUCCGCGUGUAGCAGUGAAAUGCGUAGAUAUGCGGAGGAACACCGAUGGCGAAGGCAAUCCCCUGGACCUGUACUGACGCUCAUGCACGAAAGCGUGGGGAGCAAACAGGAUUAGAUACCCUGGUAGUCCACGCCCUAAACGAUGUCAACUGGUUGUUGGGUCUUCACUGACUCAGUAACGAAGCU